rfam:Oryza sativa (indica cultivar-group) chromosome 1, whole genome shotgun sequence.
AAAAAGAUAAACACUGGAUUUCCGUGUCCAAUUUUGACUGUUAGUCUUAUAAAUAUUUUUUUUAUAAUUUGUAUUUUCAUUGUUGUUAGAUGAUAAAACAUGAUUAAUAUUUUAUGCGUGACUUGUCUUUUAAAUUUUUUUUAUAAUUUUUUCAAAUAAGACGGACGGUUAAACGUUGGGCAUGGAAACCAGGGUUUGUCUUUUU